GACGAACGCUGGCGGCGUGCUUAACACAUGCAAGUCGAACGGAAAGGCCUCUUUCGGGGGGUACUCGAGUGGCGAACGGGUGAGUAACACGUGAGUAACCUGCCCUUGACUUUGGGAUAACUUCAGGAAACUGGGGCUAAUACCGGAUAGGAGCUCCUGCUGCAUGGUGGGGGUUGGAAAGUUUCGGCGGUUGGGGAUGGACUCGCGGCUUAUCAGCUUGUUGGUGGGGUAGUGGCUUACCAAGGCUUUGACGGGUAACCGGCCUGAGAGGGUGACCGGCCACAUUGGGACUGAGAUACGGCCCAGACUCCUACGGGAGGUAGCAGUGGGGAAUAUUGCACAAUGGGUGGAAGCCUGAUGCAGCAACGCCGUGUGCGGGAUGACGGCCUUCGGGUUGUAAACCGCUUUCGCUCAUGACGAAGCUUUGUGUGACGGUAGUGGGUAAAGAAGCACCGGCUAACUACGUG
rnacentral:rRNA from 1 species